rnacentral:rRNA from 1 species
GGCGGGGCGGCGUGCUAUACAUGCAAGUCGAGCGAACUUAGAAAAGCUUGCUUUUCUAAGUUAGCGGCGGACGGGUGAGUAACACGUGGGCAACCUGCCUACAAGACUGGGAUAACUUCGGGAAACCGGAGCUAAUACCGGAUAAUAUAAAGAACCUCCUGGUUCUUUAUUGAAAGAUGGUUUCGGCUAUCACUUGUAGAUGGGCCCGCGGCGCAUUAGCUAGUUGGUGAGGUAAUGGCUCACCAAGGCGACGAUGCGUAGCCGACCUGAGAGGGUGAUCGGCCACACUGGGACUGAGACACGGCCCAGACUCCUACGGGAGGCAGCAGUAGGGAAUCUUCCACAAUGGACGAAAGUCUGAUGGAGCAACGCCGCGUGAGUGAUGAAGGUUUUCGGAUCGUAAAGCUCUGUUGUUAGGGAAGAACAAGUGCGAGAGUAACUGCUCGCACCUUGACGGUACCUAACCAGAAAGCCACGGCUAACUACGUGCCAGCAGCCGCGGUAAUACGUAGGUGGCAAGCGUUGUCCGGAAUUAUUGGGCGUAAAGCGCGCGCAGGUGGUUUCUUAAGUCUGAUGUGAAAGCCCACGGCUCAACCGUGGAGGGUC